AAGUAUCAAACAUGUAUAUCUAAUGGCGUGUAAAAAGUUUCUUGGUGUGGGACAGUCAACACCAACAUGUAUGGAAUUUGGAGAAUGUCGGAGAUAUCCC